CACAUUUUAUUGAUGAACACCAAGCAAAGUUCACAUUGUCAAAGAGUUUUAAGUUUUAAUAGAUGCAAAAUGUUAUUCUCAAGGAGCUUGCAGAAAUAAAAGUUCUUUUAAAAGAAGUUAUAGAAAUUAAGUUUCAGGCUACUGGGGUGAAGUUGCUAGAAUCGGUGGACGAAGUGGUUACACUGGAUAAUAAACUAUAAGAUAAAACCGAGUAUACUAAUUUGCUUGAUAGUUUGAAAAAGAUUGGUGGAG